rnacentral:lncRNA from 1 species
UGUGUCAAUUAUUUUGAAUUUUUCACUCAAAACUGCCUCAUACGGGCAGUGGCAAGCAGUCGGUCGUUGAGAUUGAUACUGGUAGCUGCUCUGGGUGGUGUUAAGAGUUAAAGGCUGGAUAGGCUUAGUUCUCCUCCUAUUACAGCAUGCUAAGCGGAAGCAUAUAAACAAAUGCCGAACUGAAAUUGGCCAACACAUGUGGAACUCUUGAAGAGACCAGUAGGAAUUUUAGGCUACAACGCUAGUCAGAGCCACUUAGCACAAUGAUAUACCUUUUAUAAAGAUAGUGAAGCUAAAAAUUGGGAUGAAUUCAGCGAAAAUUUAAAAAGAAAAGACUUAUGAAGUGCAAUUUGCUAUCCAUAUUUUUGUACGGUUGCUCCACUUGGAAAGCCACCAUUGAAAUAAUUAGGCGCCUGCAAGCUUUCGUUAACCGAUGUCUUAGAAUAAUACUCCGAAUUUUUCGACCUAAAACAAUCUCAAAUGAGAACAUCUUGAUCCGGAAUGGAAAGAAGACGGCAGUAUUGCAAAGAAGAAUGGAACUCGGCAGAAGCAGGCCCCUGGCAGAUCCCGUGAAACGUGGCGAAGAACAGUCGAGCUGACGCAACUGGGAAUAAACUAGAAGGAAAUCGGCGUAGUGGAGUUCGAAAUACUUGGAAAGGUGCACUUUUCUAUUGCAUUUAGAUUUAUACAGCGUAGGCCGCAGUAUAGUGACCGCCAUACAAAAAAGAAACGAACAAUUUCUAUUCUCUUUCUGGCUUCGAAACAGCUAAAUCCUUUCAAAGAAGUAUGCUUAAAUUAUGGGUUAUUUUAUAUGUCGUUGCGAAUGUAGUAUGCCAAAAUUUCCCAUAAGAAAACAAUCGUUUAUUUAUUAAUGAAAGAAAAAUUUAAAUCUUUAAAUUACCUACAGGGUUGAAUUGGUUGGUUAAUGCGGCGGCGGCGAAAGGAAGAUUUUUCGCUGGAUGCUGGUAGUAAAAUCUAAAUAUCUAGCCAUUAAAUCGCUCUCGCGAAACUGUGCCUAUUAACAGACAGUACGACAGAGUACGAAGAGAAGGCGAAGUAGAAUUAAGCCAAAAGAAUAAAAGUGCUAGCAUACUUCUUCUUUUUGUAGCUAUUUUUAUUUAUCGUGGGUCAGACUGCUUAUAUUUAACUACAUACAUACAUACAUACAUAUGUACAUAUUUAUAAGCGAAGUGUUGUCCGUUAUCUUUAUAAGUACAUACAUAUAUACAUACAUACCUUAUACAAAUUUAUACGCUAUACCUAACCAUGUACAUACUAUAUACAUGUGUACAUAUCCAUACAUAUAUUAACCUGUAAAUAUGUACGUUUAGGUGUAUCAGACUGAGUAUUUAUUUCUGUUAUCAGCUGAAACAUACAAAAAAUAACAAUAAAACGUAAACACAAAGGAGAGCAAAUAGUUAACCAAAAAAAAAAAAUAUAAAACUUUAUAGCAAACAAUAAAACAGCUGUUUUGCUGAAAAUUUUACGAAAGCAAAGGAGUGAGCUGUAGCAGAAAAAUGUUUUAAAAAAUAAGAAGAAAAUGCCCUGAAGCAUAAAAAAUUUUAUCCUUUUCAAAGAAGCGUAGGAACAUGACGACUGCCAAAGUAAAUAACCCAUAAAUAUGUAUUUAAAAAAGAGCUGUGACGUAGACAGCUUUUAACACCACAAGACGUAGGUAGAGAAUUACCGACCUAGCUGA